CGAAUAUUCAACUACUGGGCGACGUUUGGAGCCACGAGGUACUACAGAACAUCCCUUACAGUUGUGCCACAGUAACUACAUGUGAAUUUAGGGUACGCAGUCCUCUGGUUGGAAUCGAAAUGACACAAAUGAAUAAUGUCCCGAACACCCGACGUUUACGAUGUUCGUCGAAAUUGAAGUUUAUUACUUGCGUAGGUAGGCAACUA